rnacentral:rRNA from 1 species
AUGAACGCUGGCGGCGUGCCUAAUACAUGCAAGUCGAGCGAACAGACGAGGAGCUUGCUCCUCUGACGUUAGCGGCGGACGGGUGAGUAACACGUGGAUAACCUACCUAUAAGACUGGGAUAACUUCGGGAAACCGGAGCUAAUACCGGAUAAUAUAUUGAACCGCAUGGUUCAAUAGUGAAAGACGGUUUUGCUGUCACUUAUAGAUGGAUCCGCGCCGCAUUAGCUAGUUGGUAAGGUAACGGCUUACCAAGGCGACGAUGCGUAGCCGACCUGAGAGGGUGAUCGGCCACACUGGAACUGAGACACGGUCCAGACUCCUACGGGAGGCAGCAGUAGGGAAUCUUCCGCAAUGGGCGAAAGCCUGACGGAGCAACGCCGCGUGAGUGAUGAAGGUCUUCGGAUCGUAAAACUCUGUUAUUAGGGAAGAACAAAUGUGUAAGUAACUAUGAACGUCUUGACGGUACCUAAUCAGAAAGCCACGGCUAACUACGUG